GAUGAACGCUGGCGGCGUGCUUAACACAUGCAAGUCGAACGAGAAAUGAUAUUACGAUCUCUUCGGAGUGACGGUUUUAUUUCGAGUGGCGGACGGGUGAGUAACGCGUGAGCAACCUGCCCUAUACCGGGGGAUACCAGUUGGAAACGACUGUUAAUACCGCAUAAGCGCACGAUAAGACAUCUUGUUGUGUGAAAAACUCCGGUGGUAUAGGAUGGGCUCGCGUAUGAUUAGCCAGUUGGCGGGGUAAAGGCCCACCGAAGCGACGAUCAUUAGCCGACCUGAGAGGGCGACCGGCCACAUUGGGACUGAGACACGGCCCAAACUCCUACGGGAGGCAGCAGUGGGGAAUAUUGCACAAUGGGCGAAAGCCUGAUGCAGCGACGCCGCGUGAGUGAGGAAGUAUUUCGGUAUGUAAAGCUCUAUCAGCAGGGAAGAAA
rnacentral:rRNA from 1 species